rnacentral:rRNA from 1 species
UACGUAGGGACCAAGCGUUGUUCGGAUUUACUGGGCGUAAAGGGCGCGUAGGCGGCGUGGUAAGUCACUUGUGAAAUCUCUGAGCUUAACUCAGAACGGCCAAGUGAUACUGCUGUGCUAGAGUGCAGAAGGGGCAAUCGGAAUUCUUGGUGUAGCGGUGAAAUGCGUAGAUAUCAAGAGGAACACCUGAGGUGAAGACGGGUUGCUGGGCUGACACUGACGCUGAGGCACGAAAGCGUGGGGAGCAAACAGG